rnacentral:rRNA from 1 species
UGAGACACGAAUCCAGGCCCUACGGGGCGCAGCAGUCGCGAAAACUUCACAAUGGGGGCAACCCCGAUGAGGGAAUUCCUAGUGCUAGCACAUUUGUGUUAGCUUUUCUUUAGCUUAGAAAACUAGAGGAAUAAGGGCUGGGUAAGACGGGUGCCAGCCGCCGCGGUAAUACCUGCAGCCCAAGUGGUGGUCGAUUUUAUUGAGUCUAAAACGUUCGUAGCCGGUUCGGUAAAUCUUUGGGUAAAUCGGGGGGCUUAACCUUCCGACUUCCGAGGAGACUGCCGAACUUGGGACCGGGAGAGGCUAGAGGUACUUCUGGGGUAGGGGUAAAAUCCUGUAAUCCUAGAAGGACCACCGGUGGCGAAGGCGUCUAGCUAGAACGGAUCCGACGGUGAGGGACGAAGCCCUGGGUCGCAAACGGGAUUAGAUACCCCGGUAGUCCAGGGUGUAAACGCUGCAGACUUGGUGUUGGGAACCCUUCGGGGGUGCUCAGUGCCGGAGAGAAGUUGUUAAGUCUGCUACUUGGGGAGUACGUCCGCAAGGAUGAAACUUAAAGGAAUUGGCGGGGGAGCACCGCAACGGGAGGAGCGUGCGGUUUAAUUGGAUUCAACACCGGAAAACUCACCAGCAGCGACUGUUACAUGAAAGUCAGGUUGAUGACCUUACCAGAUUUUCAGAGAGGUGGUGCAUGGCCGUCGUCAGUUCGUACCGUAAGGCGUUCUCUUAAGUGAGAUAACGAACGAGACCCUCACCAAUAAUUGCUACUUAUCCCUCCGGGGGUAAGGCACAUUAUCGGGACCGCUGGCGCUAAGUCAGAUGAAGGAGAGGUCAACGGUAGGUCAGUAUGCCCCGAAUUUCCUGGGCUACACGCGCGCUACAAAGGGCGGGACAAUGGGUUCUGACACCGAAAGGUGUAAGCAAUCCCGAAACCCGUCCGUAGUUCGGAUUGAGGGUUGUAACUCACCCUCAUGAAGCUGGAUUCCGUAGUAAUCGCGAAUCAACAACUCGCGGUGAAUAUGCCCCUGCUCCUUGCACACACCGCCCGUCAAACCAUCCGAGUUGGGUUUCAGUGAGGUUACCCCUGAUUAGGGUAUUCGAACUGAGAUUUAGCAAGGAAGGUUAAGUCGUAACAAGGUAUCUGUA